rnacentral:lncRNA from 1 species
GUGGUGUCACAAUUGGUGGUGUUGGUACUACAGGUGGAUAAACAAUGGGUGGUUUUGGCACAUAAGGUGGUGUAACUGGCACAACUGGUGGUUUUGGGAUAUAUGGUGGUCUAACUGGGACAACAGGUGGUUUUGGGACAUAAGGAGGGUUCACAAUUGGUGGUUUUGGAACAUAUGGUGGUGUAACUGGCACAACUGGUGGUUUUGGGACAUAGGGAGGGUUCACAACUGGUGGCUUCGGGACAUAGGGUGGUUUAACAACUGGUGGUUUUGGGACAUAAGGUGGAUGUGGAUGCAGUGGAGGCUUAGGGUGAGGUUUUGGGACAUGGGGUGGAUGUGGAUGAACUGGUGGUUUAGGGUAGUGAGGAGGUUUUGGGACAUAGGGUGGGUGUAC